rnacentral:rRNA from 1 species
CCUACGGGUGGCUGCAGUGGGGAAUAUUGCACAAUGGGGGAAACCCUGAUGCAGCGACGCCGCGUGAGUGAAGAAGUAUUUCGGGAUGUAAAGCUCUAUCAGCAGGGAAGAAAGUGACGGUACCUACCUAAGCAGCACUGGCGAAUUACGUGCCAGCAGCCGCGGUAUUACGUAGGGGGCAAGCGUUAUCCGGAUUUACUGGGGGUAAAGGGAGCGGAGACGGCGUGGCAAGUCUGAUGUGAAAGGCACGGGCUUAACCCCUGAACUGCUUGGGAAACUGACAUGCUAGAGUGCUGGAGAGGUGAGUGGAAUUCCUAGUGUAGCGGUGAAAUGCGUAGAUAUUAGGAGGAACACCAGUGGCGAAGGCGGCUUACUGGACAGUAACUGACGUUGAGGCUCGAAAGCGUGGGGAGCAAACAGGAUUAGAUACCCGAGUAGUC